UUUUUUAACACACUCUCAAUUAUUAAUUCAUGUCACCCAAUAAAAUAAAAAGAUUACUGUAAGUAAAACCAAAAUUCAUUCAUUUUACAUGAACUCACAACACAUUUAAUACUAAAACUCACCUCAUAAAUAAAUGAGUAACCAUAAUUCAAACAUCAACGCAUUUAUAUAUUAUAGAAUAUGUUUACCAUAAGAUCUAAGUCCCGAUGACAUUUACCUGCUGGAUUAUGAAGACCGAUGCAAAUUGGCUUUGAAAUGAAAAAACUAAAUGAUCUACAAAGAACAACAAUAAAAAAAUAUUAAAACAAAC
rnacentral:lncRNA from 1 species